rnacentral:rRNA from 1 species
CAGUAGCCGCGGGAACACCAGCACCUCGAGUGGUCAGGAGGUUUAUUGGGCCUAAAGCAUCCGUAGCCGGUUGCAUAAGUUUUCGGUUAAAUCUAUGCGCUUAACGUAUAGGCCGCCGAAAAUACUGUGCAGCUAGGGAGUGGGAGAGGUACACGGUACUCGAUAGGAAGGGGUAAAAUCCUUUGAUCUAUUGAUGACCACCUGUGGCGAAGGCGGUGUACCAGAACACGUUCGACGGUAAGGGAUGAAAGCUGGGGGAGCAAACCGGAUUAGAUACCCCGGUAGUCCCUGUCUCUUAUAC